rnacentral:rRNA from 1 species
UAAUACGGAGGGUGCAAGCGUUAAUCGGAAUUACUGGGCGUAAAGGGUGCGUAGGUGGUUUAUUAAGUUAGGUGUAAAAUUCCUGGGCUUAACCUGGGCUUGAGACUUAAAACUGAUAGACUAGAGUAUAGGAGAGGGUAGUGGAAUUUCCGGUGUAGCGGUGAAAUGCGUAGAGAUCGGAAGGAACACCAGUGGCGAAGGCGGCUACCUGGCCAGAUACUGACACUGAAGCACGAAAGCGUGGGGAGCAAACAGGAUUAGAUACCCUGGUAGUCCACGCUGUAAACGAUGUCAACUAGCUGUUGGUCAUAUGAAAAUGAUUAGUGGCGCAGCAAACGCGAUAAGUUGACCGCCUGGGGAGUACGGUCGCAAGAUUA